AACGCUGGCGGCGUGCCUAAUACAUGCAAGUCGAGCGAACAGACGAGGAGCUUGCUCCUCUGACGUUAGCGGCGGACGGGUGAGUAACACGUGGAUAACCUACCUAUAAGACUGGGAUAACUUCGGGAAACCGGAGCUAAUACCGGAUAAUAUAUUGAACCGCAUGGUUCAAUAGUGAAAGACGGUUUUGCUGUCACUUAUAGAUGGAUCCGCGCCGCAUUAGCUAGUUGGUAAGGUAACGGCUUACCAAGGCAACGAUGCGUAGCCGACCUGAGAGGGUGAUCGGCCACACUGGAACUGAGACACGGUCCAGACUCCUACGGGAGGCAGCAGUAGGGAAUCUUCCGCAAUGGGCGAAAGCCUGACGGAGCAACGCCGCGUGAGUGAUGAAGGUCUUCGGAUCGUAAAACUCUGUUAUUAGGGAAGAACAAAUGUGUAAGUAACUAUGCACGUCUUGACGGUACCUAAUCAGAAAGCCACGGCUAACUACGUGCCAGCAGCCGCGGUAAUACGUAGGUGGCAAGCGUUAUCCGGAAUUAUUGGGCGUAAAGCGCGCGUAGGCGGUUUUUUAAGUCUGAUGUGAAAGCCCACGGCUCAACCGUGGAGGGUCAUUGGAAACUGGAAAACUUGAGUGCAGAAGAGGAAAGUGGAAUUCCAUGUGUAGCGGUGAAAUGCGCAGAGAUAUGGAGGAACACCAGUGGCGAAGGCGACUUUCUGGUCUGUAACUGACGCUGAUGUGCGAAAGCGUGGGGAUCAAACAGGAUUAGAUACCCUGGUAGUCCACGCCGUAAACGAUGAGUGCUAAGUGUUAGGGGGUUUCCGCCCCUUAGUGCUGCAGCUAACGCAUUAAGCACUCCGCCUGGGGAGUACGACCGCAAGGUUGAAACUCAAAGGAAUUGACGGGG
rnacentral:rRNA from 17 species